rnacentral:misc_RNA from 1 species
AACGCACAUUGCGCCCGCUAGUAUUCUGGCGGGCAUGCCUGUUCGAGCGUCAUUUCAACCAUCAAGCCCCAGGCUUGUGUUGGGGUCCUGCGGCCGCCGCAGCCCCCGAAAAGUAGUGGCGGGCUCACGAUUAUACCGAGCGCAGUAAUACAUCUCGCGAGGGAGUGAUGGUGGGUUCCAGCCGUUAAACACCCCAAUUUAUCAAGGUUGACCUCGGAUAAGGUAGGAAUACCCGCUGAACUUAA